rnacentral:rRNA from 1 species
GAUGAACGCUGGCGGCGUGCCUAAUACAUGCAAGUCGAGCGAACAGAUAAGGAGCUUGCUCCUUUGACGUUAGCGGCGGACGGGUGAGUAACACGUGGAUAACCUACCUAUAAGACUGGGAUAACUUCGGGAAACCGGAGCUAAUACCGGAUAACAUAUUGAACCGCAUGGUUCAAUAGUGAAAGGCGGCUUUGCUGUCACUUAUAGAUGGAUCCGCGCCGUAUUAGCUAGUUGGUAAGGUAACGGCUUACCAAGGCAACGAUACGUAGCCGACCUGAGAGGGUGAUCGGCCACACUGGAACUGAGACACGGUCCAGACUCUUACGGGAGGCAGCAGUAGGGAAUCUUCCGCAAUGGGCGAAAGCCUGACGGAGCAACGCCGCGUGAGUGAUGAAGGUCUUCGGAUCGUAAAACUCUGUUAUCAGGGAAGAACAAAUGUGUAAGUAACUGUGCACAUCUUGACGGUACCUGAUCAGAAAGCCACGGCUAACUACGUG